rnacentral:rRNA from 1 species
GACUAGACUCCUACGGGAGGCAGCAGUGGGGGAUAUUGCACAAUGGGGGGAAACCCUGAUGCAGCGACGCCGCGUGAGUGAAGAAGUAUUUCGGUAUGUAAAGCUCUAUCAGCAGGGAAGAAAAUGACAGUACCUGACCAAGAAGCCCCGGCUAACUACGUGCCAGCAGCCGCGGUAAUACGUAGGGGGCAAGCGUUAUCCGGAUUUACUGGGUGUAAAGGGAGCGUAGACGGUUAUGUAAGUCUGGAGUGAAAGCCCGGGGCCCAACCCCGGGACUGCUUUGGAAACUGUGUAGCUGGAGUACAGGAGGGGCAGGCGGAAUUCCUGGUGUAGCGGUGAAAUGCGUAGAUAUCAGGAGGAACACCGGCGGCGAAGGCGGCCUGCUGGACUGAAACUGACGUUGAGGCUCGAAAGCGUGGGGAGCAAACAGGAUUAGAUACCCGAGUAA